CCCUAGUCUCAUUCAGUGUAGAAGCCAAGACUCAGAGAGGAACUGUGACUCGUCUACAGUCCCACAGGAAGUUGGUGGGAGACAAAGACUGGUCCACAUCCAAGUCAUUCUCAGGAAUAUUACCUUCAGGGUGAAGGUCUGGAGCUUCAUCGUCAGGACAGACCCUCAUCAUCCCUGAUUUGCCUAUAACCAACACUGACCCAAGACUUCUUUAUUAGAAGAUGCAGAUACAUAUGUGGCCUGAGAGACAGACAGCUACAUAUCCGGUUGAGCACAGAACCUGCUCUGAAACUAACUGCAGGUUCAUUCCCCCUAGGGAAGGCUCCCAACAGCCAUAGGUUCCUGGAAAAUAAUGUCAUCAUUUUUUAUCCUUUUUAAAAAUUUUGUCAUGGUG